ensembl:lncRNA
GGGGAGUGGUGGUGGUGGUGGUGGAGGAGGAGGAAGGGGUGGAGGGGGGCCACCCCGCAGCAGCCCCGGAGAGGGCUGGCAGCGAUGGUACCCCCGUCCCCAUCUCUCCCCCGCCCUUGAAAGGGCGGCUGCUGCCGGGAUGUUCAGCUGGCACCGCAGCUUCACCCUGGGAGCGCCCUGGAAAAGAGGCAAGACGAGCCCACCUGCGGAGGACAAAGUCGUGCUCACACACAUGAAGAUACUGAGCGAUGAAGGAAUUCAAAACCCAGGGUUAAUCCCAGAGGCUCCGGCUGACCCAGCCUGCACCCAAGAGUCCCACCUCCCGCCGGACUGCCAGGCAAACCCCAAUGCAGCAGCGGAUCCGGACUACCCAGAUGGCCCGGCAAGCAUGGACUAUGUAGCCACCCUGCCUGACCUCAGCGCCUUCGAGUCCAAGUGCCGGCUUCACAGAUUCUCCAAAUUUGAAUCCGAGGACUCGGGGGUUGAGCUGCCCAGCGGGGCUAAUUCUCCAUCAACGCCGACGGGCUCGGAGAAGAGCUUUGUGCUUCACAGCAGAGACUCGUUUUGUGACUCGGGUGUGCUUAGCACCUCCUCUUCUCCAGAAAUCGACCACCUGAUAAUGAGAACAUGUGAAGAGCAUGCCAGGAAAGUCAGCCACCAAGAUCCAGAGAGUGAAAAGCAAGCUGAGUACUACGGCCAGGAGGCAGAUGCUGUGCAGGGUCCUACAGCUCCCCUUGAAGACUUCAGUGUCCCUCAGGAAGGAAGUCCUGGUGAACAUUUUGACCAAAGUGAAAGGCAAUCUCUGGAAAAGGAACCUAGCCCAGAGACGGACCUUCCCAGGGAAAACACUCUUCCCACCCCAGCUCCCACAGAAGAGCCAAAGACAAUUGCUGACAAUUUCCCAGAGACCUUUGGCAGCAUGCAAGACCUUCAUCAGCUGAAGAAGUACCCCACCAGUGACAGUCUGGAUGAAUACAUGGAUGAAUGCUGUAGACUGAGUGAGGUGAACCAAGGUAACAGCAAAGUCCUGGGGUCUGGUCUGGGGUACCUGGAACACAUUUGCCAACUGAUUGAGAAGAUUGGGCAGCUGCAGGAGCACAACCUGCGUCUCCAGAAGCAAGUGUGCAGCUUGCAGAAAGAGCAGAAGAUGAGACAGAUCAAAGAGGAGUAUCUUCUCCAGCAUUGCUCCUGUGGAGCUGCCAGCGUCUUCCUCAACUCGUACCAAGAUGUGAAGACGUCGUUUGCUGGGAGGAGCAGACCUCACAGCCUCUUGGUUCAGACUGGAAACGCUUCUGAUCUUUCCAUCAUCCCAGAAAUAGGAGCAAACACUGAAAAGCUGAGCAGCUGCAAUGGAAGUGAGAGAUACCUGGAAUCGGGAAGCAGCCAGCCGAUGGCGGGGCUCAGGAAGUCAUCAAACAAUAGGAACAACAAGGAGAAUGAGUUCAGAGAAGCUGGUAGCAUGGCUGAGGGACAGGCUUUUCCGUCCAAGGACCCUGCAGUAAGAAAGGGCGUGGACGUCAGCAAGAACAUCUCGGGUGAGAGCCAUGCCUGGGGGAGAAUGAAAGAUCUGAUUUGGAGGACACGGCUGAGAAACCAGAACAAGCUGGGGCUGUCCUCUGCCGCUCUGAAGAGGUCCUGCCCACAGUUGUACAGGCCAGAUAUUAUGUCUUCGGAGCUGAGGAAAACUGAGAGGAACUCCAUGAUCGUUCUGGGGCAAAAUACAAAGAAUGAAAACAUAUGGCCUUUCUGAUAACCCAAGUCAAAUGGAACAAGGUAAAAUAAGUAAAGCAGCAUGUGUUUCUUUGUGGGUUGGGGAUUUUUUUUUUUUUUUGCCUUUUCUCAGCACAGUCCUGUUCCUUCAUCCAGACGUGCUCCAAUAUGCAAAAAUGGGAACAGGUCAGAUUUUUGAAAUUCAAAUUAGAUGCAUUUAUGCCAGCUGAGGACUGGUUCAUAUACCUUCAUUUUAAUAGUCCCCCACUUUUUUUUUUUUUUAAACCCACAAUUUAAAGGCAUCUGUAGUUGUAUGGGCUACAUCACGCAGCCUUUUUACAAAAGUACAGCAGCAAAUUCUUUUAGCUGCAGCCAGUCAAAAAGAUUCUCAAAUAACAAGCCAACCAAGAGUCUUGGGAAAGAGACAAUCUGCCCAUAAUAAUAAAACUAAGAGAGAACCAGGCUCA